rnacentral:rRNA from 1 species
GAUGAACGCUAGCUACAGGCUUAACACAUGCAAGUCGAGGGGCAGCAUGGUCUUAGCUUGCUAAGGCCGAUGGCGACCGGCGCACGGGUGAGUAACACGUAUCCAACCUGCCGUCUACUCUUGGACAGCCUUCUGAAAGGAAGAUUAAUACAAGAUGGCAUCAUGAGUCCGCAUGUUCACACGAUUAAAGGUAUUCCGGUAGACGAUGGGGAUGCGUUCCAUUAGAUAGUAGGCGGGGUAACGGCCCACCUAGGCUUCGAUGGAUAGGGGUUAUGAGAGGAAGGUACCCCACAUUGGAACUGAGACACGGUCCAAACUCCUACGGGAGGCAGCAGUAAGGAAUAUUGGUCAAUGGGCGAGAGCCUGAACCAGCCGAGUAGCGUGAAGAACGACUGCCCUAUGGGUUGUAAACUUCUUUUAUAGAGGAAUAAAGUCGGAUAUGGAUACCCGUUUGCAUGUACUUUAUGAAUAAGGAUCGGCUAACUCCGUG